GAAAUGCGAUAAGUAAUGUGAAUUGCAGAAUUCAGUGAAUCAUCGAAUCUUUGAACGCACAUUGCGCCCGCCAGUAUUCUGGCGGGCAUGCCUGUUCGAGCGUCAUUUCAACCCUCAAGCCCCAGUGGCCUGGUGUUGGGGACCGGCGACCUCGCCCGGGGGAACACCCCCGGCGCGUCCGCCGCCCCCGAAAUGAAUUGGCGGCCCCGUCGCGGCCUCCUCUGCGUAGUAGCACAACCUCGCAGCGGGAGCGCGACGCGGCCACUGCCGUAAAACGCCCAACUUUUUUUUAGAGUUGACCUCGGAUCAGGUAGGAAUACCCGCUGAACUUAA
rnacentral:misc_RNA from 1 species